rnacentral:rRNA from 1 species
UACGAAGGGGGCGAGCGUUGUUCGGAAUUACUGGGCGUAAAGGGCGCGCAGGCGGCGUACCAAGUCGGACGUGAAAUCCCCGGGCUCAACCCGGGAACUGCGUCCGAUACUGGCAGGCUUGAAUCCGGGAGAGGGAUGUGGAAUUCCAGGUGUAGCGGUGAAAUGCGUAGAUAUCUGGAGGAACACCGGUGGCGAAGGCGGCAUCCUGGACCGGCAUUGACGCUGAGGCGCGAAAGCCAGGGGAGCAAACGGG